UAGGCGGCCAAUUAAGUUAGAGGUGAAAGUCCAGCUUUCAAGGUUGGAAUUGCCUUUAAUACUGAUUGGCUUGAGUGCGGAAGAGGUAAGUGGAAUUCCCAGUGUAGCGGUGAAAUGCGUAGAGAUUGGGAGGAACACCAGUGGCGAAGGCGACUUACUGGGCCGUAACUGACGCUGANGCGCGAAAGCGUGGGGAGCGAACAGGAUUAGAUACCCUGGUAGUCCACGCGGUAANCGAUGAAUGCUAGGUGUAGGGGUAUCGACCCCUCCUGUGCCGGANUAAACCCAAUAAGCAUUCCNCCUGGGGAGUACGGCCCCAAGGUUGAACUCAAAGNAAUUGACGGGGNCCCCCCNAGCANC
rnacentral:rRNA from 1 species